rnacentral:rRNA from 1 species
AUUGAACGCUGGCGGCAGGCCUAACACAUGCAAGUCGAGCGAGCGGCGGACGGGUGAGUACUGUCUGGGAAACUGCCUGAUGGAGGGGGAUAACUACUGGAAACGGUAGCUAAUACCGCAUACCAUCGGAUGUGCCACGAUGGGAUUAGCUAGUCGGUGGGGUAACGGCUCACCUAGGCGACGAUCCCUAGCUGGUCUGAGAGGAUGACCAGCCACACUGGAACUGAGACACGGUCCAGACUCCUACGGGAGGCAGAAGUGGGGAAUAUUGCACAAUGGGCGCAAGCCUGAUACAGCCAUGCCGCGUGUAUGAAGAAGGCCUUCGGGUUGUAAAGUACUUUCAGCGGGGAGGCGUUACCCGCAGAAGAAGCACCGGCUAACUCCGUGCCAGCAGCCGCGGUAAUAC